rnacentral:rRNA from 1 species
UGACGGCGUGCCUAACACAUGCAAGUCGAACGAGAAAGUGGAGCAAUCCAUGAGUAAAGUGGCGACCGGGUGAGUAACACGUGACUACCUGCCCUUGAGUGGGGGAUAACUUCGGGAAACCGAGGCUAAUACCGCAUAACAUCGAUCAAAGGAGCAAUCCGCUGAAGGAGGGGGUCGCGGCUGAUUAGCUAGUUGGUGAGGUAACGGCUCACCAAGGCGAAGAUCAGUAGCCGGCCUGAGAGGGCGCACGGCCACACUGGAACUGAAACACGGUCCAGACUCCUACGGGAGGCAGCAGUGGGGAAUUUUGCGCAAUGGGGGAAACCCUGACGCAGCAACGCCGCGUGGAGGAUGAAGUCCAUUGGGAUGAAAACUCCUUUCGAUCGGGACGAUUAUGACGGUACCGGAAGAAGAAGCACCGGCUAACUCUGUGCCAGCAGCCGCGGUAAUACAGAGGGUGCAAGCGUUGUUCGGAAUUAUUGGGCGUAAAGGGCGCGUAGGCGGUGCGGUAAGUCUGUGGUGAAAUCUCCGGGCUCAACUCGGAAAUUGCCUUAAAACUGCCGUGCUGGAGUGUGGAAAAAGUGAAUUGAAUUCCCUGUGUAGCGGUGAAAUGCGUAGAUGUCGGGAGGAACACCUGUGGCGAAAGCGGCUCACUGGACCACAACUGACGCUGAGGCGCGAAAGCUAGGGGAGCAAACAGGAUUAGAUACCCUGGUAGUCCUAGCCUAACGAUGAUUGCUUGGUGUGUCGGGUACCCAAUCCCGACGUGCCGCAGCUAACGCGAU